rnacentral:lncRNA from 1 species
UUUUUUUUUAAUUACUCAUCCAGAUCUGUCAAAAUCAGCUAAGAAUUUGCUCCCACUUCCAUUGAAGUGGUAAGCGGAGACAAAAUGAGAUAAAAAUUUUACCAGCCCCAUCCCGAAAAUCGACUCCAUUUGCAAUUCUAAGUAGGAGAUAGAAUCCCAACAUGUUGAUCUACUGUCACGCCCCGGAUUAUUCGUUUCCCUGGGCACGCCAAUAGAAUCGCCGUAUAUAUAAAAAAAUUUUCUGUAUACGAAGCGAUAGCUGUACCUGUACCUGUAAUCAUACAACACUACAACCAGUAAUGUAGAGCUGCUAAAAAGAACAAUAUAUAAAUAAAACUGGUUCACUAUACAUACAUAGCAUCUUGGUACAAAAACACUCGCUCCAGCGAGAAUCUAACAUCAGUAUGUAUAAGAACCAAAAACUACAACUACCUAUAGCUGGUAUAUUUCUAAAUCAGCAGCAAAACGGGAAGGGAUCUAGCUCGCGACUCCCUUUCCAUGAUCGAUAUCCGCGAUAGCAGCAGCCGAUGAAGAAGACUCUGCAAAAAGAGGGGUAACAACUGGGCGUGAGAACUACUGCAAAAGAAGUAGUCUUCAGUAGGUACCGCCCUCAAUCUCAUCGGCUCACCCACCAAGUCUACAGAAAGUAUGCACAAAUGAUAGUAAGGGAACUGAAAACAAUCUACAGCUGUAUACUACUAUACUAUCAUAAUACAACACUAACUAUCUGUAGUAUAAUGCAAUCUCAGACCCAAUCUCACUAGGGACUGUGAACACAUCCGCCCAUGGGACUGUGAAUACACCCGUCCCGCCUGUCAAAGUUAUACUGCUACCCCACGCUAAGCCGUCCGUGGAGAGCAAGUCCAACCAGGACACAAUGACACCAACGCAAACGCACAAAGCCCGAUUCCGGAGUGGCACUCGUGGGCAUUACCUAACCGAGUAUGCUAGCGUGUCUCUGUCGAGCUCAAUCAAUCUCUCACAGGCUAUAGUCAAGUAAACAAGGUCUAAAAAUCCAACUCACGUGCCCUCGGCACAAUCUGAUGCAAAAACAGUAAUCUGGGUCCACCGUCAACCCCGACAGCAUCCGAUAGUCCGGAACAACCUAAAACACUACUGUAAAAAUAAGCUCGGUAUCUCAGCACGAGCAUAAAAAUAUUCUACACUAUCUUAGGUAUCCACCGUCCACAAACUGCAGCAAUACAAACAAAUUACAGCUCCUACAGCUAAAUCUGGUAGUUUUAACAUAUGACAAUGUAGAAUCGCUGGUUUUCUCCUUAGUCACUUCCAAGUCCAACAUGUAUAAUUUAUCUAACUCACAACAGCAUGCUCUAAAUUCAGAUUUUGUUUAACAUGCUAAUCGAUGAAUUCGAGCUAAAAAUGUGAUAUACAUAGGCUGAAAAUAUACAUGUUGAUUAUGCAUACACUUAGGAGGAGAAUCCGAUGAUUAACCUACCUCUAGCGCUAAUCCACGACUGCGAGGAGGUCACGAAGUUGCUGGAGGCCUCAGCAGAAAUCACCCACAACCAGGAACUCUGCUACUCAAAGGAUCUAAAUGUUAAAACACCAAAAAUUUUCGUACUACAUACAAUUUCAGCAUUUAAGCUUAAAUUCACCUUAAUCACAAAGUUAAUUUCACCUUCCAAUUUUCAAAUUAGGUGAGAAAAGGUCCCAAAUCCUAUGAACUGUGAUGGAGUAUCACCCUCUGGUCCGAAACCGAGCUUCCUCGAAAGAUUGCACCAAGAAACCCACAAUUCACAGAUUCAGUCCAAAAACACCAGCAGCACAGUAAAAAGCCAAAUUAACCAAGCUAACCUCAACCAAAUUCUGUCAAAAUGGGCUCCACGAAUUUCUCUUGAAGUCCAGAAUCCACCAAACCAAGUUUCGUGGCAAACGGAGCUUCCUACGUCGCACACGAGCCAAAACACCGAAGAUCGCUGCUGGAAAACUGCUAGAACAGCAAUCCUCAAGGUGGAAAGUGGGCCAAUUGAAAAAAUUUGAGGGAAUUUGAGAGUUACGAGACAAUUUCAAGCUUUCCUGUGAAAGAAAGGUGAAAAAGCUUCUCAGAGGUCAACUACAAGCUAUUUAUAGGGAGGAGAAAGGGUGAAAUAGGCCCAAGGAACAAGAACUGUUAACCUGCUGCCCUACAGAAACAACAAGUUUCGAGCGCCCGGAAUCAUGUUCUGGGCGUCCGAAACAUCCAAGCUGCACAAAUCCUUCUCUUCGGUUCCUCCGCCCGCAGUGUGCUGUGCCCCUAACGUGGUCCGGCGGAUCCCACCUACCACCAACACGUGUCAAAGAGAAUGAUAUUUCCAAAGUAAACUUUCGGAUCCAUAUCUGGGCGGCCGAAACCAGGAUUCGAAUUGCCUUCCAGUUCUGCUCAGACCAACACUCAAGUUCUGGGCGACCCAAACCCAGUUUUGGGCGGCCGAAUCUGGCAAAACUCCAGUUUUGCCUAUUUGAGUGCGCCAAGUCCAUUUCUGCAUCUAUUUCGUGCAGAAAUGACUCCGACUCAAUCCGACACUCUCCAGAUGUGUCGACCAGUCACUAAUACUGUAGCCAAUCCUAUCCAAACCUCCGAAACAUUACAUCCUCCCCCACUACAAAAGUUUCGUCCUCGAAACUUAAUACAUACCUCAAUCCUGAGUCUCAAACAACAAGGGGUAGGACUCCCGCAUCACUGCCUCCGGCUCCCAAGUCGCCUGCCGCUCCUCAUGAUUACUCCACUGCACCUUUACAUAAGUGAAAACCCGAUUGCGUAAUUCUUUCGUUUCACGAGCCAGAAUUCGUACUGGUCGCUCCUCAAAUCUCAAGUCCUCGCCAAGCUCUAGCGGAGUGAAGUCAAUCAUGUGGGAGGGGUCGAACACAUAUCUCCUCAAAAUCGAGACAUGAAAAACAUCAUGGAUGCCGGCCAGUCGUGGGGGUAGAGCAAUCCUAUAAGCAACUGGCCCAACUCGCUCCAAUAUCUCAAAAAGGCCUACAACGCGUGGACUGAGCUUUCCACGCACUCCAAAUUUGUGUAUCCCUCUAGACGGCGAGACUUUCAAAAACACAUGAUCUCCAACCUGAAACUCUAAGUCUCGUCUCCUGGUAUCGGCGUAGCUCCUCUGGCGGCUCUGAGCUGUCAAAAGGUGUCGUCGUACAGCUCUAACCUUUUCCUCAGCCUUUAGCAAAAUCUCAGGCCCUAGCGUCUUUCUUUCACCCACAUCACUCCAAAACAAAGGGGAUCGACAUCUGCGUCCAUACAAUGCCUCAAACAGAGCCAUCUGAAUGCUUGUUUGAUAGCAUGUCCUCCAUAGUCUGUAUGGUCCGCUUUGACUGACCAUCUGUCUGUGGCUGAAACGCCAUGUUGAAGUGCAACUGGGUACCCAAGGCUGUCUGAAGACUCCUCCAAAAGUGCGAAACGAACCUCGGGUCUCGAUUCGAUACAAUCGAAGUAGGCACGCCAUGCAACCUCACAAUCUCAUCCAGAUACAACUGAGCGAGUCUCUCUCUGGACUAAGUGGUCUGUACUGGUAGGAAGUGAGCAGACUUAGUCAGUCUGUCCACUAUCACCCAAAUAGCAUCGAAACCACUUUGUGCUCUAGGUAAUCCCACGACAAAGUCCAUCGUGAUCUACUCCUAUUUCCACUCGGGCACUGGCUGACUUUGAAGCUUGCCAGCAGAUACCUGAUGCUCUGCCUUUACCUGUUGACAAGUCAGACACUGAGCCACAAAUCUGUUAAUGUCCCUCUUCAUUCCAUUCCACCAAAAGUGUGCCUUCAAAUCCUUAUACAUCUUGGUUCUACUAGGGUGAACCAUAUAAGGUGAAUAAUGAGCCUCUCUCAAAAUCUCCUCUCGGAUCUCUGAAUCCAUAAGCACACACAAUCGGUCCCUGUACCGCAGUACUCCCGAACUGUCCACAACAAAACCCUCUGACUGUCCCCUCUCUAAUUGCUCUCGAAUCCUCAGCAAGUACGAGUCUCCACUCUAUUUCUCCCGGAUCCUAUCCAACAGAAUGGGCUGCAAGACCAUAGACAUCAGUCUCACAGUAGACCUAAAGGACAUAAUCUCGAGCCUCAACCGCUGCAGCUCCUCAAGUAACGGCUUCUACUGAGUAAUCAUCAUGCUCAAGCUCUACACUGACUUCCUGCUCAAUGCAUCUGCCACCAUAUUCGUCUUGCCGGGAUGAUACUUAAUACUAAUAUCUUAGUCCUUCAAUAACUCCAACCACCGGUGUUGCCUCAGGGUCAACUCUUUUUGGGUGAACAGAUACUUGAGACUUUUAUGAUUAGUGAAAAUCUUACAGUGCUCGCCAUACAGAUAAUGCUGCCACAACUUCAAAGCAAAAACCACUGCGGCAAGCUCCAAGUCAUGCGUAGGGUAAUUCUUCUCGUAAUCCUUCAAUUGCGGUGAAGCAUAAGCAAUUACCCUACCAUGCUGCAUCAGUACACAACCCAAACCACUGUGUGAUGCAUCACUAUAAAUCACAAAUCCUUCCCCCAUAACUAGGAGGGCAAGGAUAGGAGCCGACAUCAACCUCUGUCUCAGCUCAUUAAAGCUUCUCUGACAAUCCUCACUCCAGAUGAACUUAAAUCUCUUUCGAGUCAAUCGAGUGAGGGUGUGGAAAGUUUCGCAAAGCCUUCCACAAACCGACGGUAAUAUCCAGCAAGUCCAAGGAAACUCCUCACCUCUGUCACCGUCGUCGGUCUGGGCCAAUCCCGAAUAGCAUCAAUCUUCUUUGGGUCUACUGCUACUCCAACUACAGAAAUAACAUGGCCCAAGAAAGAAACCUCCCGUAACCAAAACUCGCACUUCUUCAACUUAACAUACAACUUCUUCUCUCUCAAAAGCUGUAGCACAAUCCUCAAGUGCUCCUCAUGCUCGGCGUCACUCCGGAAGUAUACCAAGAUAUCAUCGAUGAAUACAACCACAAAUCUAUCCAAGAACGACUUGAACACUCAGUUCAUCAAAUCCAUAAAUACGACAGGGGCAUUCGUCAAUCCAAAAGGCAUCACAGUAAACACAUAAUGCCCGUAUCGAGUCCGAAAAGCCGUCUUGGGAACAUCCUCGGCCCUCACCCUCAGCUGGUGGUAACCUAACUGUAAAUCAAUCUUCAAGAAGACACAAGAUGCUUGUAGCUGAUCAAACAGAUCAUCAAUGUGUGGCAAAGGAUACUUAUUCUUGAUGGUCACUUUAUUCAGCUCCCGAUAAUCCACACACAAUCUAGGUGAACCAUCCUUCUUCUUCACAAAUAACAUUAGCGCUCUCCAAGGUGAUACACUGGGUCUCACAUACCCAUUAUCCAUCAGAUCCUGAAGCUGCACCUUUAGCUCUCUCAGCUCGGCCGGUGCCAUCCGGUAGGGUGUCUUCGAGAUUGGUGCAGUUCCAGGAACUACAUCAAUCACAAACUCGAUCUCCCUCUCCGGCAGCAUCGUCGUCAACUCCGGGAGAAACACAUUCGAAAACUUGCGGACUAUAGGGAUAUCCUCGAGUCUCGGCGUCGCCGUAGGCACCUCCACAACCGUCGUCAGAAAAGCAACACAUCCUCUACUCAUCAGCUGUCGAGCCCUCGCCGAAGAAAUCCAAGUGGCAAACAACGUACUCCUGCAGCCUCUGAAAGUGAACACCUCCUGGUCUGGCUCGCGGAACGUCACAGUUCUCGCUCCACAAUCAAUAGUAGCAUAGUACCGCGCCAGCCAAUACAUGCCGAACACAACGUCAAAGUCCUACAGCUGCCCUAAAACCAACAGGUCUGCGGGCAUGAUCCAAGAAUCUAACUGCACCGGACACGACCAACAACACUCUGCAACCUGUAAAACAUGGUCGGGAAUUUGCACCUCUCAUGCCUGUGACAAUGACCCUAACUUUAGACCAUGCAACAAUACAAAUGCUCGGCUAACAAAAGAAUGUGAUGCACCGAUAUCAAAAAGUGUACGAGCUCGAAUAUCAGAAAUCAAAAUGAUACCUGCCACCACUCGGUCGGCUGCUGUAGAAUCCUCCACCUUAGCUGCGUAUACCCUGCCACUCGGAGCCUGCUGUCGUCGCUCACCCUGACGCGGCAUGGACAUCCUGUCCUCCCGGCAGUAACUCGGUGCUGCCCCAUAAGACUACUGGGAUGCUGGCUGAGCUGAUGCUGUCGAUAGUGCUAGUGAUGCUGCUCGGGGACAGGCUGACCUCAUAUGUCUAGGCUGACCACAAAGAAAACAACGACCCUCUCUGUGCUCACACUGUCGAGGCCAGUGUGGUCCCCCACAAAUCACACACUGCGGAGUCCGCAGUGCCUGCCCUGCUGACGUGAUCCUCUAAAACGCUGAGACCCCGAAGACCCACGACCCUGAGAACGUGAUCGUGGAGGCCUCGGCGGACGUCUACUGCUCGACUGUCCUCCGUCAUAUGGAAAAGGGCGCUUCCUAUCCUGACUCUGCCCGGCACCUGAGUCCUCUCCCGAAUAGAUGCAUCACCUCUCUCUACCCAUAAGGCCUGCUCCAUAGACGCGUCCAAGGUCCUCAACCUCUGCGCCUGUACCAAUUUGAAAAUCUCUGGUCUCAAUCCUCUCUAAAAAAGAUACACCCUGUGUGCCUCAUCUCUGGCUACAAAAGGAUCACAGUUCAGGAGUCGAGUAAACUCACGAAUGUACUCCUGAACUGGUCGCUCCCCCUGUUGGAUUCUCUUCAGAUCCUCCUCGAGCUUCUGCUUUAUACUGUUGGAAAAAUAUAUCCCAUACAACAUGCCACAAAACUCAUCCCAUCGCAUCUACGAAGCCACCAACCUAUAGUCUCGCCUCACCCUCCUCUACCAAGCAUGUGCAUCACCGGCCAAGUAGUGAACUCCAAGGUGUACUUGCUCCCGCUCAGGAAUGAACAAAUCCUCAAACAGCUUCUCCAUCGCACUGACCCAGCCCUCGACAACCCAAAUCUCCGUGCAGCUACCAUCAUAGGUCGGGGGAUCAAAACGACGAAAAUGGGCAAGUCUCUCAGCCAUCCGCUCCUGCUUAGCCUCAGUCAUCUGCGGUGCCUCACCAAAAGAUGCAACUAGCGCUGUGGGAACUGCCACUGGUGGGGGUACAGCUGCGGCUGGUGCGGCCACUGGAGUAGUCUGGGGUGGAACUGGCUGCUCUGGUGCUGUGCUCUGCGGCGGAGCUAACCUCUCACACAUCCUCUGUAACAACGCCCCCUAUUGCCUUGUCACCUCUGUCAAGACAGCAAACUGCUCUCUCAAAUCAAGGGGUGCACUCGCCUCUGGUCGUGCACUCGGCUCUGCCUGCUCAGGCAUCUCAGUAGGUGCGGCACGAUCCCUGGUCAACGGUCGACCUCCGACAAUACAUAGCUGUCAAAAAAAAAAAGAGGCAGAUACAAAUACAAACACUCUCGACCCAAUCAAACGAAAGUCUAGAAGGCGGGGCCCCUGUUUCUCCUCAAAAUUAUGUCGUUUGUAGCCGACAUAAUUUUUUCGUCGCCGAAACAGACACUCCUUCAGUCACUAACUCCACUCCAGGAGGAGUUAAACUAAUUAAUCACUGACUUUUGCGAUAAAUCACGCCUCUCGUGUCUUGCCUUCCUAAGGUUCACCAAACUUAGAGUUCCUAGAUCCCAACGACCUAAUGUUAAGCUCUAAUACCAACUUAAUCUGUCACGCCCCGGAUUAUUCGUUUUUCCGAGCAUGCCAACAGGCCCGCCGUAUACAUAGGAAUAUUCCCUGUAUACGAAGCGAUAGCUGUACUUGUACUUGUAAUCAUAUAACACUACAACCAGUAGUGUAGAGCUGCUAAAAAAAUAAUAUAUAAAUAAAACCGGUUCACUAUACAUAUAUAGCAUCCUGGUACAAAAACACUCGCUCCAGCGAGGAUCUAACAUCAGUAUGUACAAGAACCAAAAACUACAACUACCUAUAACUGGUAUAUCUCUAUCAGCAGCAAAACGGAAAGGGAUCUAACUCGCGACUCUCUUUCCACGAUCGAUAUCCGCGACAGCAAAGCGGUUAAAAGUACUUGUUAAAAGUGAUUAAGGCUUCGUUUGGGAUUGCGGGGAGAUUGCGUUACGUGCGGUGAGAAAGUACGUUGAAAAAAUAUCCUGUUUGUUUCCGUAUGUAAUAUUGCGUUCCGCAUAUCGCGAUGAAGCAGUUAUGAUAUAUUUUCUGCGGUCUCACCGGAGAACGCAGAAGCAUAUCUCUAUAUACUUUUUCCUCAACUCCAUUUUAUCUAAUAGCGUUAGAGAGGCCUCAAUACCAAACUAAGCCUAAGUAUAUAUAUUAAACUCAUUUUGACAUUAAAUGUAAUAAAAUAUACAAAAUAAUAAAAAUAAUAAAAUAUAUUGUCACGCCCCGGAUUACUCGUUUUUCCGGACACGCCGACAAAUCCGCCGUAUACAAAGGAAUUUUUUCUGUAUACGAAGCGAUAGCUGUACCUGUAAUUAUACAAUACUACCACCAGUAGUAUAGAGCUGCUAAAAGAAAUGAGAUAUAUAAAACAGAAGUUCACUAUACAUACAAACAUCUAGGUGAACCAACAUACUCGCUCCAGCGAGUUAAAACAAAAGUAUGUAUAUGAACUCAAAAACUACAACUACCUGUAGCUGGUCCUCCUCUAUCUUAGCAACUCGUCAGGAAGGGCUCUAACUCGCAACACUCUUUCCACGAUUAGACUCA